CUACCAUAUUUAACAAAUUAGGCUUAUCGCCGAGAUACCUGUACUUGAAACUUCCACAGUUCAUCGGAAUAUUUACUAUGUUUCUUUACUACUAGACUAAAAAUGUAUUGUGAUAUGUUCCAAGUCCUCGAGUAGUGACAUAUCGAUGAUGAUGGGAUUUCCUUAACUCCAAUAUGAUGCAGAAAAAAGCCGCAAACUCCGUGAUUACAUUGUUGAGUGUAGUGCCUCAUCAUUGGUUGAAAAGAUUUUGUGUUGGCUCUUCUUUACAUCUGGCUUCCUCGCAUCUCAGGAGUCAGUUGGCACACUCAAAAGCCACCUUUUGUGCAUAAAGGGUGGAAGGUCGAGAGCGGUUUUCCAUUGCUGUAGUGGACCAGGUAUGCACAUUUACACAUGGUUACUAUUAACAAUAAUUUUUUUAAAUAAAUACAAACUAGUUUUUGUUGCA
rnacentral:lncRNA from 1 species